AUCGCUGGCAAUGCUCUGAUUGGUCCUGCAUAUCCCCACUACGGUAACUCGCGACGUCGCGGGCGACCGUGUCGUCAGUGCCGCCAACAUUACCAAUAACUACCUAGAUUGGAUUGCUGUUGCCAUCUCCAAAAAAUCUUCAAAAAAUUCAUGGCCUGCCGUAAUUUUGUCCUUUUCGCACAUAAGACACAAUGAUUUGGCAGAGAAUAUAUUUGUAGUUUAAUAUCUCCGUAGAAAAUUCUUUCUUUUUUUUGUUUUUGUUUUGUAUUAUCGUACUGGGAUUACGCAGAGUUACUAUUGAUUCGAAGUUUCCCAACUAAAUUAUUCCACUUGAUGUGAUGAUGCAAACCGAUCUGAUAAUAAAAUUCAAUAAUUUUUAUUGGAUUUGACAAUUUUACGUCAAAACAAUUGCAUUUUAAGAUUCCCAUGUGAAUAUAAUAGCGUCUAAUGUAUCUGUGUUAUGAGAUAGAAACUUCAAAUUUUCUAGUAUAACCAUUAGCGCAUUUUGGAAACUCUUAUGUCCGUUUUGUUCAGUGAAAGGCCAUCGCUAAGCGGAUAAUCCUAGAUUCGUUAUUUUAUUCACUACUCGAGGAUACAGAUAAGAAUUGAUAUUCUACACGGCAGGGAUAAAGUCUAGGGACAUUAGUUCUGUUGGUCAUGCAAGCUGCAUUGCCGUAGGCCGAAAUCGACGCCUACGAAAAGUUAGCUGACACGAAUACUAAACUGGCCAGUAUACUAUGUGUAUAUCUAUAUAUGUGUAUAUAUAUGUAUAUAAACGGUCAUAUAGUGUACAGAUCUUUUACCACGUAAAAAUAAUAUGACGAGGAUACGAGUCAUGCUUAAAAACAAACACGAAGAAUACCUACACGUUCAUUCAAUUAUAGAUGCCGAUCACUGCGAAUGUCGGGCCCACAGCUAGAGGGCCCUGAAUAAAAAUGACGUUGACGUUUCAUUCGCUAAAAUGGUACACGUCGCCGAAAAGUCAUUCCCCCACGCAAAACGCCUCCGUUGAACUUGAUCCAAUCUCGGCAGCCAUGUACUUGAAUUGCCAAUGGUCAACGUCAAAUCAAUCCGGAAAGGUGAGCCACUGUUGCAGGAUAGAAUUGCAAGGAUGCGGCCUCAAAUGGUAUCUGGUGCGAAGUCAUUGGUUGAAUGACCCCGAAAACUCAUAACUGGAAUCAUUAAAAACUCCAUUUGCACAUUCAUAAGUUAUUAAAUGAAAUUAAAGAUGUGAUAACAACUCCUGGAUGGACAACAGAACGGAAACGACGAUUCUACCUCCGUGACUAGACAAUCAAUGUCGAGACGUGCUUGUACAAUAGACUUGAAAUAUUGGAAUUAUUCAAGCUCAUGGAUAUACAGUCUAAUACUUAAAAAAUAUUUACAACCAGCAUAAGCACAGAGGAAUCUAUAUGUACAGCUUUACAUACAAAAUAUAUACAAGCACUUUCUGUAUGAAUUUAGCCAAUUCUAACAUCCGAGGAAAGAAUAUAUCAUAUCCAAUGGAGUCCAUUCGUUCCUACAAUUUCCCAGGAAUAAUACAAACAUAUAAUGAAAGUCUACACUUUGUUACAGUCCAGGAACAAUCUUACACGCUUUCCAUGUGCUCCUUUUGAUAGACUUCAGAGAGAAGCAUAAACAUACUAUAUGUAGUAUCAUAUCCAUGAAUCAAUUAAUAAACGAAGAAGGAUUAUUUUCACCAUAGUGAAAACGUCGCUCUUAUAAAAGACUCAAUAUCUGUUUCCUCUUCGUGACAAUGUCAUAGUUCAUUCGCGUAUCUAAAUCAAGAUUCAAGUCUUUGUAGGCUCAUACGAUACGUAUAUAGAUACGUGUAGUGUUUUAUAAUGUUGCCUCCUUAUACUCAGUGCAAGAAUGGCGAUUAUGGGAGAGAGAAAAAGAUAUAGUAUGCAUGCGGUAAUGUAUUACGUAUUGCAGUACGCCAGUCUUCUCGUCGUUACCAUGUAUGGAUCAGAGUCUCUCGGUAAAAAUGAUUCGCGGUGGUUCUCUGAGACUUGUAUACACGUAUGUUACUACAUAUGUAUACUCCUGUGUACAUAGUUACGGUAAAAGGCGUACUGGUAACUGGAAGAUCAUCGGCAACGCAUUCUUGGACUUGGAAGAACGUGCUAAAUACAAGUCUUGAUGUCACACUUUGAUUAAACGCCAAACAAGUAUUUUAUAAUAUAUAAAUAUAAAAUUCUUUAAUUAUACGACU